rnacentral:rRNA from 1 species
GUGAGGAAUUUUGCGCAAUGGGCGAAAGCCUGACGCAGCAACGCCGCGUGGACGAUGAAGGUCUUCGGAUCGUAAAGUCCUGUCGAGUGGGAAGAAAAGUGCGGAAGCCAACACCUUCCGCAUUCGACUGUACCACCAGAGGAAGCCCCGGCUAACUCCGUGCCAGCAGCCGCGGUAAUACGGAGGGGGCCAGCGUUGUUCGGAAUUAUUGGGCGUAAAGGGCGCGUAGGCGGCCGAAUAAGUCUGACGUGAAAUCCCCCGGCCCAACCGGGGAACUGCGUUUGAUACUGUCCGGCUCGAGUCCGGGAGAGGGUAGCGGAAUUCCCAGUGUAGCGGUGAAAUGCGUAGAUAUUGGGAGGAACACCGGUGGCGAAGGCGGCUACCUGGACCGGUACUGACGCUGAGGCGCGAAAGCUAGGGGAGCAAACAGGAUUAGAAACCCUAGUAGUCC